UACGUAGGUGGCAAGCGUUGUCCGGAUUUAUUGGGUUUAAAGGGUGCGUAGGCGGUUCUGUAAGUCUGUGGUGAAAUACUCCAGCUUAACUGGAGGGGUGCCAAUGAUACUGCAGAACUUGAGUACAGAUGAGGUAGGCGGAAUUGACGGUGUAGCGGUGAAAUGCAUAGAUAUCGUCAAGAACACCUAUAGCGAAGGCAGCUUACUGGGCUGUAACUGACGCUGAGGCACGAAAGUGUGGGGAUCAAACAGG
rnacentral:rRNA from 1 species